rnacentral:lncRNA from 1 species
AGCAAAGAGUGAUUGCAUCUGGAUAAGUGGGUUUCCCUUUGAACUUUCCGUAGUGAACAUGCAUCGGAUGCACUCGAUCAAUCGGUAGAUUUGAUAUCUUUGAACCGUCGAGCUUUAAUGUACACCUAGACAACACAUGUCACACAAUCAGCCUUUUACCAUUUAUGGUUCUCACGGUUUUGUUCUUUUCAGCCAUGAACACGUUUCGGUUUCAUGAGAGCUUAGAGAAUAGGCCUUUACUAACAUUCUCUUUGAAGCGGCUUCCACUUU